CCAAUAGCGUAUAUUAAAGUUGUUGCAGUUAAAAAGCUCGUAGUUGAAUUUCGGAAUCAAUAUAUCGGUCGUGCCAUUGGUACGCACUGGUAUCAUUGGUUUCUCCUUUCUGACGAACCAUGAUGUCAUUAAUUUGGUGUUAUGGGAAGUUAGGACUGUUACUUUGAAAAAAUUAGAGUGUUUAAAGCAGGCUUUAGCUUGAAUACAUUAGCAUGGAAUA
rnacentral:rRNA from 1 species